rnacentral:snoRNA from 1 species
GGCACUUGCAUAUGUUUUUGUUCAGCUGGUGGACAAAGGCACAUUAGACAGGUGCAAAAAAAUCCUCUGUCAGAAUUAUUUUUUAUACACAUAAGAAGGAAUAUA